GAGAAUUCUAAAUACCGGCACAGAUAAACGAGGCAGCAUGGUACAUUUCAAGUUUUUAUUUAGUGAGAGAAAUCAUAGGAGAGUGAGAGCUUUAUCUGAGAGACAGAGAGGGGUAAAUCUGGGUUCAUACCCAGUACCAGGAACCAGCCACGUGGAAGAGCAUCUAGGCCAGGAAGCCUACAGCCAGAACCCUCCUGGCUAGAGGCCAGGGAAAAGAGGCCCAGACACACUCGCCGUGUCCCAGGCUUUUAACCCACUUCCAAAGGGGAGUGGUUCAUUAACCUGAUUGGCCGGUGGGCACUCAGGUGUGACCAGGUAAAGACAUGAGGUCACAGAGGGGCGUGGCGAAGGUAUCAGGUAGAAUGUGAGGUCACACAGGGGCGUGGCAAAGGUAUCAGGUAGAGUGUGAGGUCACACAGGGGCGUGGCAAAGGCGUGGUCUUCCAGCUCACAAACCUAAUUGAUUUUAACCUGUAUGCCUGCCUACUUCAAUUAGACCUUACAAAGUAAAAUACGAGACAACUGUAACCACCAAGGCAUUGAAUGUAUCUGGGCAUCAAGCGAUAAACACGGAUGAGACUGAAUCAGGAUGCAACCCCCGGAGUGAAGAGGCACCGCAAUCCGCUUCCAGGUGCGGAAGCUGCUGAAGAGGGAGGGGCCGAGGAGUCGGGCAGGCGGAGACGACGGCCGUGGAAGAAGCCAGCUUCCCUGACUGCGGGCAUCUUGGCCGUAACUGCCACGCUUGUCCUCUGGGAUCCUGCUAGUCAUCCCAAGCCCUAUUUGGUAACUGAGGUGGUUAAGAUAAUCUGCCAGCCGUCUGGUGCCAGAAAAUGAUGCCUGGAACAUCCCUUAUCUGACAUCGGGAACGAUCAGGUGCAUUCUGGUUAGCCACAGGCAGCCAUGGCCAAGGUCCCUGGGCCCUUUGCUCUUUCCAAGUUUGCAGCAGCCGCUCUCACACUUCCCAGCCGUCACCAGCCACCAACCACAGAGCAGCAGGUGCAAUGCAGACUCAACAGGACUCCACAGCACUGCUUCAUUGCCUUUCUUGGCACGUUCUCCGAGAGAUUUCAAAAGAUGACUAGUUGGGUUCAGAAAGCGAGCACGCCAAUUCCCUUAAUGCCUGAAGAUGCAUGUAUCUGGGCCUACUGAUUUACAUUUGCUGCAGACCAACCAAGAAUUCCCUCAUCUGCCACCGGCAAUAAGCUAUUCUUGCAAGGUCUUCAUUACUUCCUAAUUGUUGGAAUUUAUUUGCUACAUUUUUCUUGUUAGGAAACAUUAAAAAAAUUAAUCUUCAA